rnacentral:lncRNA from 1 species
AGAACAAAUACACUUGUACUGAUACUUUCUUCCUCGACUCCUAGAAACUGAACAAACGACAACGCCACACCUCCCUCCUUCCUUCCCCACGAUUCGUCCCUCACUCUCCCUCUCUCGCGCCCGGAUCAGGACGUGGUCUCUCGCUCUGCGCCAAACGCACCGCAUCGGAGGAUCUCAAUCGCCACCCCGUAGCUGUCCACCACCUGAGGAUGGCGGACCUGGCGCUCGGCGCGGGGCGGGAUUGGGGCGGGGCCGGGCAUGCGCCGGGAUCCACGACCUCGCUCGAGGCCCGUUUCUCCUCGGGAGACACGCGGUGGCGGGUUACGUUCGCUCCGGAUCUCAUGGCGGCGCGCUCCAUCACCUUCGCCGCCGGCGAGCUCCUUCUCCGUCAGGAUGCGCUACGUUUGGUUCUUCUCGAUGAUCGCGGCAGCACGGUGGACGCCCGAUCCCUACGCAUCGACGAGAUGAUCGACAUCAGGUACAUCGUUCCCUUCCCUUGUCAUUUUGCUAGGGUUUGGGAUCGUCUUCCUCCCCCUGAUCCUACGGUUCGGUCACCGGAGCGCCGUGGCGCCGGCGCGACCGCGCGCGGCGAGCCGUCGUGUUCGCAUGAGGGGGCCGGGGUGUUGGGGGCGGUCCAGGGUAAUCGACUCGGUACCCCCCUCCUGGCCGGUCCAGGGAUCCUGGGGCGUCGACCGGCAGAAAACCGCUACACUCUUCCGGAUCUGGGACACGUGGAGACAGAUGAAUCCGACCGCCAUGAUCGGGCCGCGACUAGGGUUCUACCCCCUCCCCCUGGUAUAAGUCGACGCGCCGCUACCUCGCGUCCCCCCAUUCUAGAUCUGGAAGAAUGCCUCAUCCAUUUUUGGGAGAAACCUGAGAGAGAGGAACCUAGGGUUCAUCCAUCUUUCGGCUGGUGGGAGGGGAAAAUUCGUGGUGAUCUCAGAUCUUUCGCUCAAGUUGUCUCUCCCUCCCCACCUAGAUCGACUACUGCACCCCUCCGCGAAUCACCUAAGAUGAGAGAAACGGGGUUCGGCGCGGGUCGUCAUGGCCGCGGCGCGGGCCGCUUCAACCGGGGUGAGGGGCGAGGCCGUGGCGAUGGUGGUCGCGGCCGCUUUGGAGGUGGCGACGGGGGACGGGGGCGUGGCCGUGAUAGCCAUGUCUGGACCCGCAAGACGGCGAUGGGGGCCUCCUCCUCCUCCAACGCUCCGUCCGGAUCUGACGAGUCUGGCUUCGAUCGAUGGGAGAAAGCUGCCGGAAAGCAGCAGGAUGAACUAGCCCAUCAAGAUCGAUGGAAAGCCGAUCGAGGGGGAUGGCUCGAAUCCUCGCAACAACGACAAGAUCCUUUCUCCUGACAAGAUGCGUGAACCCCCUGGUAUCCCUGACCAUUUAGUUACCUCCUCUGAGCUUUGUCAAAUCUGUAGCCAUGCGGGGCACUUCACUGCCAAGUGCCCCCAAGCUCUUUGUGUUAGGUGCAAAAAGAAAGGCCAUCUAUCUGUGAUCUGUACUGAUUUUCUUCCAUGGGAAUGCAUACCUGCGAUGUGUGCUUUCCAAGCCAGAAGGCAGGGAUUUCACUAUAUUCAUGAUUAUUCUGUUGGUAGUCAGACUAGUGAGAGGAUAGUCAAGGUCAUUAUCACUAUUGUUGAAGGGGAAAUUACCACCAAACAGCUAGUAGAUGAGUUUGAAAAGUAUAUUGGUCAGGGUGGAGAUGCUCGGCUCACCUGAUUGCUCCUAAGCAAUAUGUGAUGCGUUUUCCUAACCAAAGAGAGGUGGAUAAAGCUCUGUUUGUUGAAUAUAUUCCUCUUAAAUCUUUGGGAGUAGUUGUCCGUAUAACUCCUUGGUCUGAGGAUGUAGAAUCUGAGGGUCUGCUGGAAGUUGCUUGGGUGAAAAUUAGUAAGAUCCCACCUAACAAAAGAUGUGACAAGAAUGUGGCUUACAUUGGGGGACUGGUUGGGGUGACCCUGGACAUUGAUAUGUCGACCCUCAACCGACCAUCUUCUGUGCGUAUCAAACUGGGAUGUCGAGAGGUUGACAAGCUGCCUACCUCAGCUGAAGGAUGCUUAGGGGGACGGUUCUAUCGCUUUCAUUAUGAGGUUGAAGAGGUCCUGGUGAGAAAUAUCACUCGUGAGGAAGAGCCGGUUCAGGUACCACAUUACGCUGUUCCGAAGAAUGGCACCCCUAAACGCAAACGAAAUGACACACCCCCUGGUGAGGAGGACAAGCCCUCAGAGAGAACUGAAAAAGCUAAAACCUCCUCCUACCGUGGCGGCAAAGCCUGUUGCUUGCCAUCACUUACCGAUGAGGACCAUAUCCCUGCUGACAGUUCUUCUUCUGAAAGUGAUAAUGGUGGGGCUAACAGCCCUUUGCUGAUUGAGAAACUAGCUCUGGAAAUGGCUACUGGUGCUACGCAUCAAGGAGAUGAGUACUUGCUGUCUCAGAGCGACAUCUGCAAGCAUGAUCCUGUUGAUCAUCUGGUUGCUAGUGAUCACUCUUUGCAGAUCUCUGAGGUGGUUGGAGACAUGGGAUCAGACCUGAAGGUGUCCAUGGACUACACGGUACAGCUUCCUCAUCCUGACUGUGAGGAGAUUAUUCCCACACCCCCCCUCGCGCCUGAGACUCACCUCCGAUUCUGCCAGCGCAAUCCCCACCUCCAACAUAGGAAUAUGGAAACAAGAGCAGUAACCCUGAUCAAUGCCAAAAACCUGACAGGUAAAACCAAACCCAAUAAUAAGAAUACUUUUGCUGCUCUUGCUGAUUCUGAACUUAUAAGCCGUGCCUCCAAGAUGGGGGUCCUAAUCCCUGAUAAUGAUUUUUCUUGCAUUAACAUUGUGAGGGAAUUAGAGACAGUUAGGGCCAAUCUGAUUGACAAAAACACAAACCCUCAAGUUAUCAUUGAUGAGGUGUUUGUUACUAAUGGUCUUGGCAAAGAUACCCCCCUGAAUUUAACCUGGCUUGAUGAAGAUGAGAUGGCCAAUGAUAAGUUAGUUAAAUCCAGAUCUGCUAAGAAAAGCAAGAAAAAAUAGACAUUAAACUUCCUAAGCCUGUGACUAGGAGUCAAAACAAUAAGAAGGAUGGUGCUGAUGUAUCUGGUGACUCUUCUACCCUGUCUGGUAGGGUCACUAGAACCAGAAGACAAGCUAAACGUUCCAAAUGAGGGGUCUCAUUUGGAACUGCAGAGGGGUAGGCAAGAAGGGAAUGGCCACCUGCCUCUCUGAUAUCAUCAAUGACCAUUCCAUUGACUUUCUUAGGUUGCAAGAAACCUUGAAGAAGGAUUUUACUCCUAAACUUAUUAGAAAACUUGAUCCCUUCAAUUCUUUUCAUUGGGAAUGGAUUCCUGCUAUCGGGAAAUCUGGGGGCAUCCUAUGUGGUAUUCGCAUUAGCAACCUGGAGUUGCUACAGUGCACCAAAGGGGAUUAUAUCCUGCAAAUGCAUGUUAGAGACCUUAAGACCAAAAAAAUCUGGAGCUUCCUAGUGGUUUAUGGUUCUGCUCAUGAGGAGCACAAGGGAGAAUUCUUGAUGGAGCUGGCCUCCUUUUGCCACAACACUAACGUUCCUUAUAUAGUUGGGGGCGACUUCAAUAUUUUGAGACAUGAUGGAGAGAAAAACAAAAAAUGCACAGAUCUAAAUCUGUUGAUCUUUUCAAUUCAAUCAUUAAUACUCUGGGGCUUAGAGAAAUAUAUAUGAGUGGUGGCAAGUACACCUGGUCCAAUAAUCAGUCCCAUCCUACGCUCGAAAAACUUGAUCGGGUAUUAAUGUCUGACUCCUGGGAGGAGAUGUUUCCCUUGGUCUCUCUGAGAAAAUUGGUUAGGGAACUGUCUGACCACAACCCUAUUUUGCUCUAUCUUGAUGGGGAAAAUAGGGUGCCUACUAAGGCCCAAGAAUUUCGAUUUGACCUAUCCUGGCUAAAGGAUGACAGAUUCCUCGGCCUAGUGGCUAAAAUCUGGAAUAGAAAGGUUGCUGCCUCGGAUCCCAUUGACAUCUUAAACAUCAAAUUGAAAAGAUUUAAAUCUUAUUUCAAGGGGUGGGGCUCGGAUAAAUUUGGGCAUGCCAAGAGACGGAAAGAAGACCUACGAAUUGAGCUUGAGCUGCUGGAAGAGGCAGAGGAGGAGGGCCCCCUCCCGCCCGAGCUAUACUGUAGAAAAACUGAUAUAUGUUUUGAGCUCCAUGAGCUGCUUAUCGCUGAAGAAAUCUACUGGCUUCAGCAAUCUCACGAACGCUGGCUGCUUCGAGGGGACCGCAAUACGGACUACUUUCAUAAGAUAGCCAAUGGUCGUAGAAGAAAAAAUGCAAUCCACGCUCUCAAAUGUGGAGAGGUGGAGAUUGAGGGCACUGAUAAUCUGUUGGCUCAUGCUACUAACUUCUAUAAGGAUCUCUUUGGCCCUGCACCAGGUAACUUGUUUCAUCUGGAUCCUGAGACUUGGGGAGAGGCUGAAAGACUCUCAGCCAGAGAUAAUAUCGAUUUAAUUAGAGAGUUUUCUGAGGAAGAGGUCAAAGAUGCUCUAUUUGACAUGGACAUCAACAGAGCUCCGGGCCCUGAUAAUAUUCCUGCUGAAUUUUAUCAGUGGUGCUGGGAGAUAGUCAAAAUUGAUAUUAUGAGGCUUUUUGACAGCUUCCACAAAGGCACACUGGAUGUGCAGCGUCUUAACUAUGGCAUCAUCACCAUACUCCCUAAAGUCUCGGGGGCUGACCGUAUACAGCAAUUUCGACCUAUCUGUCUUCUUCGUUGCCCCUACAAGUUGAUCACCAAGGUCAUGGAUAGGAGAGUUUCUAGGUACGCUGAUAUUCUUAUUAGCCCCACUCAGAAUGCCUUCAUAAAAGGCAGAAGCAUUAUGGAUGGGGUGCUGGCCCUCCAUGAACUUCUCAACUACACCCAUGUCAAAAAGAGAGUCGGGGUGAUCCUCAAACUUGAUUUUGAAAAGGCUUACGACAAGGUCAAUUGGGACUUCCUACUUGAGUGUCAUAAGAUGCGAGGCUUUGAUCCCAAAUGGUGUAGUUGGGUUGAGCAAAUCCUACACAAUGGCACAGUCAGCAUCAAGUUAAAUAAUUGUGUCGGGCCUUAUUUGCAAAGUGCCAAAGGGGUACGCCAGGGGGACCCCUAUUCUCCUUUUUUGUUUAAUAUGGCUGUGGAGUGCCUCACUAAAAUGAUCAAGAACGCCCAGAACAAUAAUCUUAUUGUUGGGUUAGCUUCGGAUCUAAUCCCACAUGGAGUUGCGGUGCUGCAAUACGCAGACGACACGAUUAUCUGUCUAGAGCAUGAUGUUGAAAAAGCUGUUAAUCUUAAACUCCUGUUGUACAUUUUUGAGAUGAUGUCUGGCCUCAAGGUGAAUUUUCACAAGAGUGAGAUCUUAACCGUUGGGGGGGAUGCCCAAAUUACUAAGACUUAUGCUGAGCUUUUCAACUGUGAUAUAGGCCAAUUCCCUCUUAAGUAUCUGGGUAUGCCGGUGAGUUACACGGCUCUGAGAAACUCUGACUGGGAUUUCAUAGUUGAUAAAUAUCUCCUUAGAUUCGAUGCCUGGGUUGGUAAUGCUGCUUCUAUGGGAGGGAGACACACCCUUCUAGACUCGAUAGUUACUCAACUCUCUCUAUACCACAUGUCUAUGUGGCUGAUGAACAAAUCUUUUGUGGAAAAAUUGGAUAAAUACAGAAGGAGAUUCUUCUGGCAGGGGUGUAGUAAGAAACGGAGAUAUCACUUGAUCAGAUGGAACAGGAUCUGUAGAUCCAAAGAAAAAGGGGGGCUUGGUAUUAAAGACUUGCGCAAGAAAAACAUUAGUCUGAUGCUCAAGUGGUGGUGGAAGCUAGACACCCAGAAAGGAAUUUGGCAAGAUAUUGUUUGGGCUAGGUAUCUCCGCAACCAAACUGUUGCAACUGUUAGCCCUCGUUUCUCUGAUUCACCUUGUUGGAAAAACUUGUUGAAAAUCAAAAACAUGUACAUGAUAGGCAGGAAGCUUCACGUGGGGACAGGCAACCUAACCAGGUUGUGGAAAGACUCUAUUAAUGGGUUAACUCCUUUCCAAGAACAAUUCCCAGGCCUCUUUGAUAUUUGUGUUGAUCAAGAUUGUACCCUGGAUAGGCUUAGCUCCAUAACCUGUUCUAGCUUUUUCCGCAGAAGAUUGAACGCUGAUUUGACAGACCAGUGGUCUAAUCUUCGAGAUCAGGUGCGCAAUCUAAACUUACCGAAUGCCCCUGACUCGGUGUAUUGGUACCUGAAUAAAUCUGGCAAAUACACUACCAAAUCCAUGUAUAAAUGGCUUGAAAAACCCCUUAGCGGAUGCAACUAUAGGUGGAUUUGGAAAGCCAAAAUCCCUCUCAAAAUACAAAUCUUUCUUUGGCAACUCUCACAAGAUGCCGUCCUGACUAGGCAGGUGAUGCGGCAUCGAAAAUGGCCAGGGAACCCUGUGUGUUCCUUCUGCCAACAAAUUGAAACUUCCCAGCACUUGUUCUUUGAAUGUUCUGUUGCCAGAGUGGUUUGGAGGUCUAUUGGAGUAACUCUGGGGACUGAUCUUUGUCCUAAGAACUGCUGGCAAUUUUUUGUUUGGUGCUACUCUUUCAUCCCCGACUACGAACGUUUCUAUACGGUGGCCUUGGGCGCAAUUACCUGGUCCAUUUGGCUGGCGCAAAACCGUGCUACUUUUGAGAAUAAGAUAAUCAAAUCUCCUUUUGAGAUUGUGUUUACGGUGGUUUCCUUCCUUCUUUAUUGGGCAGGGCUCCAGGCGGGGGACGACGUCAAGCAGCUUCGGGCAGGGGCGGAGAUGAUUCGCGACGGGACGACAAGGCUGAUGCGAGCCUGUGAUGCAACUAUCAAGAUUGGAGACUAAAAAUUAAAAAUAGGGAAGGAGAUCGACGGAUUAUCCCCCAAGCUCUUCAUACUUAUGCUGCGGCUUGUUUUACCCCGGUCGUCUGGACAAAGGACUUCUAUUUUGAGCUAUGGCUACUGGUGUUUUGUUGUCAUACUUUCUGGUGGCUUUUGGACUGUCGUUUGUAAUAGGUCUAGAUAUUUGGUGCUACUAGGUUUUCGCCCCAUGGCGCCCGUUUCGAUGGCGGGCGGGUGCCGUGGGUUUCCUAGUAGUGCGUUGAACUCGCUCUCCCCUUCUCCCUGUUCUUAGUCUCAUCCCUGUUUCUCAGACCGGUUGUAUUUCCGUUCUAAGUAAUGGAAAGGGGGUUAUCCCGGUUCAAAAAAAAUGAUAACCCCCUAUGAUGAAAGUGCA